CAUAGCAGUGAGGAAUAUUGGUCAAUAGCCUAACGGCUGAACCAGCAACUUGGAAGAAUGAAAGGCGCAAACCCGCGUCGUUAUAAUAAAAAAUUAUAGUAGUAACUACGUUACAUUAAGUUCUAGGUAAGUUUUUGAUUAUGACAUAAUUUAUCUAUAAGUCUUGACCAAAUCAUGUGCCAGCAGUCGCGGUAAGACAUGGGAGACAAGUGUUAUUCAUCUUUAGCAGGUUUAAAAGGUACUCAGACAGUUAAUUAAGCCUAUCGUAGAUGAGGGACUAAUUAUACUAGAGUUUUAUAGGAGAGGGCUAGAACGGUGAGUGGAGAGAUAAAAUAUGUUGAUACCAUCUAGACACUAGCAUCAGUGAAGCAACCCUUUAUGUAAUAACUGACGUUAAAGGACGAAGGCUCAGAAGAAAGCAACAGGAUUAGAUACCCCAGUACUGUGGGCAGACAAUGAUGAGUGUCAUAGGUAAGUUUCUUAAUUUAAAAUUUAAAUUAUAAGUUUACGUAUAAAUGAAAGUGCAAGCACUCUACCUUAAGAGUAACAUGGCAACAUCGGAACUGAAAUCAUUAGACCGUUUCUGAAACCAGUAGUGAAGUAUGUUGUUUAAUUUGAUGACCCACAAAGAACCUUACCACAAUUUGAAUGUUUCUAUAAAAAAACAAAUAGAUUCACAGGAGUUGCACGGCUGUUUUUAGUUGAUAUCGUGAGAUUUUGGUUAGCUCCAUAAAUCAACGUAAACCCUUACUUUAUUUUUUCAUAAAGUAUCUCACCUCUGGACCGGAGGUGUUAAUAGGGAUUAAGACAAGUCAUCAUGACCUAAAUAUUGUGGGC
rnacentral:rRNA from 1 species